UACGUAGGGUGCGAGCGUUAAUCGGAAUACUGGGCGUAAAGCGUGCGCAGGCGGUUUUGUAAGCCAGAUGUGAAAUCCCCGGGCUCAACCUGGGAAUGGCAUUUGGGACUGCAAGGCUGGAGUGCGGCAGAGGAGACUGGAAUUCCUGGUGUAGCAGUGAAAUGCGUAGAUAUCAGGAGGAAUACCGAUGGCGAAGGCAGGUCUCUGGGCUGACACUGACGCUCAUGCACGAAAGCGUGGGGAGCAAACAGG
rnacentral:rRNA from 1 species